GGGCGUGUGGUCUAGUGGUAUGAUUCUCGCUUUGGGUCUUACCCCCUGGUAAAACAGGGGGACAAAGCAUGCGAGAGGCCCUGGGUUCAAUUCCCAGCUCGCCCC